rnacentral:tRNA from 1 species
GGAGGAAUCGGAUAACGGUAUUCCACCGCUCUUGAAAAGCGGCGCCCGCAAGGGCUUGUGGGUUCGAAUCCCACUUCCUCCG